GCCUUCUAAGCUCAGUGGUAGAGCGCGUGGCUUUUAACCACGUGGACGUGGGUUCAAUCCCCACAGACGGUG
rfam:Ipomoea nil DNA, scaffold: scaffold0861, cultivar: Tokyo-kokei standard.